rnacentral:rRNA from 1 species
UACGUAGGGGGCGAGCGUUGUCCGGAAUCAUUGGGCGUAAAGCGCGUGUAGGCGGCUUGGUAAGUCCGGUGUGAAACCUUGGGGCUCAACCCCAAGCCUGCACUGGAUACUGCCUCGCUUGAGUCCGGGAGGGGAGAGCGGAAUUCCUAGUGUAGCGGUGAAAUGCGCAGAUAGUUAGGAAGAACACCGGUGGCGAAGGCGGCUCUCUGGAACGGUACUGACGCUGAGACGCGAAAGCGUGGGGAGCGAACAGG